UGUUUCAUACGUGUACAUUCAGGUGCUUAUUUGUCAUUGUGUAUUCUUUGGUAGGAUAUGGUUGUCUUUCUCAGCCAAUUAUUUUGCUUUCUUCUUUGCAUUGCUAUGGGUGGUAGUUGGGUUGCAGGAUAUCUUGUUUUGUCAUAUAUCAGUGACCCUGAAUCCUCUGUGGUACACCUAGCUGGCUAGCUGGAAGCAACUUUUGGUUUAUGUAUUGUCCUGCUUUGUCCUUAUAUUAUCCUUUUCCAUUUCAAUCCGAAUCACUUAGUAUGGCUUGUGUGCAAUACAAUCAACUCGUUAAUUCCUGUAAUUGUUGUCAAAUUGAGGGCUGAUGGUUGCUUGUUAGGGCUAGAUACUUUUAUAUGUUAGUUGGCAUCUGGCGGUUACAAAAUAUGGCAUAUUGUUGGCUUAACGGUCUUUUGUACUGCAAAUCAAUGCCUUGUGGUGAACACAACUAUUCGAACAGGUGGCAGGAGAGGUGUCUAGGGCUGCAAGAGGCGGCAUCCUGGGCAGCGUAUGAUCGAAGAUGUGGAGACUGGUUGAGGCUGUGAGGAAGUGUGAUGGAUCAGGAUAGCGUUUUUUCUGUGGCAACUGUAUGCCUGUGGUCUGUAAUGAAAACUGCUGCCUUGGCUAGGUGUUUCUUCUUGUCCUGAUGAAAACUGCUGCCUUGGCUAGGUGUUUCUUCUUGUCCUGAUGAAAACUGCUGCCUUGGCUAGGUGUUCUUCGACUGUGAGGAACCUUGUAGGUGACGUGCUUUCUAGCAACGGAAAGCCGAGUAAGAAACAUAUAAAUGCAAAUGCUUUGUGGAUGAAACGUUAUGUUUUUUUAGUUGCUAGUGUAUCUGCAAAGCUGCUAAAGCCGAUCGCUGGUUUUUGACAAUGCUUCCAUCUGUAAUAUGCAAACUAGAGCUGAAUGCUGUGUCGAACCAUUAGCUGCC
rnacentral:lncRNA from 1 species